rnacentral:rRNA from 1 species
GCAUAUCAAUAAGCGGAGGAAAAGAAACCAACAGGGAUUGCCUUAGUAGCGGCGAGUGAAGCGGCAAAAGCUCAAAUUUGAAAUCUGGCACUUUCAGUGUCCGAGUUGUAAUUUGAAGAAGGUAUCUUUGGGUCUGGCUCUUGUCUAUGUUUCUUGGAACAGAACGUCACAGAGGGUGAGAAUCCCGUGCGAUGAGAUGUCCCAGACCUAUGUAAAGUUCCUUCGAAGAGUCGAGUUGUUUGGGAAUGCAGCUCUAAGUGGGUGGUAAAUUCCAUCUAAAGCUAAAUAUUGGCGAGAGACCGAUAGCGAACAAGUACAGUGAUGGAAAGAUGAAAAGAACUUUGAAAAGAGAGUGAAAAAGUACGUGAAAUUGUUGAAAGGGAAGGGCUUGAGAUCAGACUUGGUAUUUUGUAUGUUACUCUCUCGGGGGUGGCCUCUACAGUUUACCGGGCCAGCAUCAGUUUGGGCGGUAGGACAAUUGCAAAGAAAUGUGGCACUGCCUCGGUAGUGUGUUAUAGUCUUUGUCGAUACUGCCAGCCUAGACUGAGGACUGCGGCUUCGGCCUAGGAUGUUGGCAUAAUGAUCUUAAGUCGCCCGUCUUGAAACACGGACC